rnacentral:rRNA from 1 species
AGCUCCAAUAGCGUAUAUUAAAGUUGUUGCGGUUAAAAAGCUCGUAGUUGGAUCUCGGCAGGCAGGGGGUGGUUCGCUCCUUAGCGCUACUGCCCCAUUUGCCUGUGUGAUUGGCAGAGGUUUCGGGGUGCCCUUUAUUGAGUGACCCGGAGCGCUGUCAGGUUUACUUUGAAAAAAUUAGAGUGCUCAAAGCAGGCUUUUCACGCUUGAAUAUUCGUGCAUGGAAUAAUAGAAUAGGAACUCGUUUCUAUUUUGUUGGUUUUCGGAAAUCGAGUUAAUGAUUAAUAGGGACAAUUGGGGGCAUUAGUAUUCAGACGACAGAGGUGAAAUUCUUGGACCGUUUGAAGACAAACUACUGCGAAAGCAUUUGCCAAGAAUGUUU